rnacentral:rRNA from 1 species
AGUUUGAUCCUGGCUCAGGAUGAACGCUGGCGGCGUGCUUAACACAUGCAAGUCGAACGGGAAAUAUUUCAUUGAGACUUCGGUGGAUUUGAUCUAUUUCUAGUGGCGGACGGGUGAGUAACGCGUGGGUAACCUGCCUUAUACAGGGGGAUAACAGUCAGAAAUGGCUGCUAAUACCGCAUAAGCGCACAGAGCUGCAUGGCUCAGUGUGAAAAACUCCGGUGGUAUAAGAUGGACCCGCGUUGGAUUAGCUGGUUGGUGGGGUAACGGCCCACCAAGGCGACGAUCCAUAGCCGGCCUGAGAGGGUGAACGGCCACAUUGGGACUGAGACACGGCCCAGACUCCUACGGGAAGCAGCAGUGGGGAAUAUUGCACAAUGGGGGAAACCCUGAUGCAGCGACGCCGCGUGAAGGAAGAAGUAUCUCGGUAUGUAAACUUCUAUCAGCAGGGAAGAUAGUGACGGUACCUGACUAAGAAGCCCCGGCUAACUACGUGCCAGCAGCCGCGGUAAUACGUAGGGGGCAAGCGUUAUCCGGAUUUACUGGGUGUAAAGGGAGCGUAGACGGUAUGGCAAGUCUGAUGUGAAAGGCAUGGGCUCAACCUGUGGACUGCAUUGGAAACUGUCAUACUUGAGUGCCGGAGGGGUAAGCGGAAUUCCUAGUGUAGCGGUGAAAUGCGUAGAUAUUAGGAGGAACACCAGUGGCGAAGGCGGCUUACUGGACGGUAACUGACGUUGAGGCUCGAAAGCGUGGGGAGCAAACUAGGAUUAGAUACCCUGGUAGUCCACGCCGUAAACGAUGAAACCUAGGGGUCCGGGGAACAUGGCUCCUCCGUGCCGUCGCAAACCCAGUA